rnacentral:rRNA from 1 species
CAUGAAGUCGGAAUUGCUAGUAAUCGCGGAUCAGCAUGCCGCGGUGAAUACGUUCCCGGGCCUUGUACACACCGCCCGUCACACCAUGGGAGCCGGUAACACCCGAAGUCAGUAGCCUGACCAAUUCUGGAGGGCGCUGCCGAAGGUGGGAUUGGUGACUGGGGUGAAGUCGUAACAAGGUAAC